CUUAGGACUUCUGGUCUUUCCUCGCCUUAGUCGUUGCCUCUGGGCGCCUCAUUCCCUUCCCCCAACCCCCCCACCCCGACCCCGGCAGGACUUAACCUGGCUGUGCAGAUUGACCCGAGGGUGAGGAGAGGGAGUCUCCUGCAGUUCGUACGUCCAGACUGUCCGACCAACACCUUGCCUGAGACGGACGCUGUCAGUUCUUAACUGUUACUGGCUCAGCUGCGUGGCUUCUUAUUUACAUUUAGAGCCGAAGAGCCAGACCCCCACCCCAAGGGCCUCCACCCUGCUCCGCAGGAGCUACAAAGCGGUCUGGAAUCUAGGGAGAAAGGAUAUCACCAAGCCCUUGGCUCUUACCAGUCCUGUUCCCCAAGCCUGGCAAGUUGCUGGCUAUAUGUUUCUAAGAGAUAUCAGUGAAAGCUCUGCCUUUGUUGGAAGCCACUGCAGCUCAGGCACCUGCAAGUAUUACGUUCAUGUAUUGAUGACCCUGCCCAAGAACGAAGACCCCCAAAUCCGAGGCCCUUGCUGCUUGUUUCCUUGAACUAACAGAUGGAAGUUGGACCCAGCACUCUUAAAGCGAACUAAGCUCUGGGAGCAAUAUUUACCCGGAUGUUUCUUUGAUCAUUUCUAGCACGAGGAGACCUAGCAACGUUUCAGAACCGAAGGGUUACACCGUGUUCCUGUGUCUGAAGUUCUUCCUGCUGCUACCACCAAGCUACAACUAAGGAGUAAUAUAUUUCAUGGGUUCUCUAGCUUCAACACCUUUUCCAGAGUAUCCACAGAUGACAGUGUAACUCAACAAAUAAACUGGCAGAUUUGGACUACUGGGGAAAUGCAUCUUUCCAUUCCAGAAUGUCUUCUCAAGCAGCAAGAAUUGGGCCAGGGCUGUAAGACAGUGCUACCACAUGGAGUCAGUGCUGUGCUCCGUGUCCUGUAAUAAGCAGCCGAGUGCCCAGCUGGUGUUCCUCUCGCACUCUGGGCUUAUCUCAACCUUGGACUUAACUCGUUGUACCACACCUUCUGGUCUGCCUCCUGCACUAAUGCCAUGUGAGUUCCCAAGGGCAGAAAGCAUCAUGCCUUACAACUCUGUAUCUCAGGUCCCAGCUCAGUGCUAACACCUGGUAGAUACUCCACAAAUGUUUGCAGACAAAAGAAUGCAAAGCAUGCUUAACUGUCCAAAUAGAAGGAAUAGCCGUUGUUUUCUAUAAUAUACUAUAAUUUCAUUGUCA